rnacentral:rRNA from 1 species
AUUCCAGCUCCAAUAGCGUAUAUUAAAGUUGUUGCGGUUAAAAAGCUCGUAGUUGGAUUUCUGCCGAGGAUGACCGGUCCGCCCUGUGGGUGUGCAUCUGGCUCAGCCUUGGCAUCUUCCUGAAGAACGUAGCUGCACUUGACUGUGUGGUGCGGUAUUUAGGACAUUUACUUUGAGGAAAUUAGAGUGUUUCAAGCAAGCGCACGCUUUGAAUACAUUAGCAUGGAAUAAUAAGAUAGGGCCUCGGUUCUAUUUUGUUGGUUUCUAGAGCUGAGGUAAUGAUUGAUAGGGAUAGUUGGGGGUGCUAGUAUUUUGCGGCCAGAGGUGAAAUUCUGUGAUUCGCGAAAGACUAACUUAUGCGAAAGCAUUCACCAAGGAUGUCUUCAUCA